AGGUCUCUGAAUGCUCUAAUCUCCCUCCAGGCUGACAGUACAUGCUCCCCAGGUUUUCUCAUUAACCCCUCAGGACAGCUCUGUAAGGAUGAUAUGGUCAGUCCCAUUUCACAGAUGACUAACUCAGGCUCACAGAAUCUAAGUCACCACCCCAGAGACAAGGUCCUGCUAUGUUGCCCAGGCUUGUCUUGAA